rnacentral:rRNA from 1 species
AGCGCAGGCGGGAAACUAAGCGGAUCUUAAAAGUGCGGGGCUCAACCCCGUGAUGGGGUCCGAACUGGUUUUCUUGAGUGCAGGAGAGGAAAGCGGAAUUCCCAGUGUAGCGGUGAAAUGCGUAGAUAUUGGGAAGAACACCAGUGGCAAGGCGGCUUUCUGGACUGUAACUGACGCUGAGGCUCGAAAGCUAGGGUAGCGAACG